rnacentral:rRNA from 1 species
UACGGAGGGGACUAGCGUUGUUCGGAAUUACUGGGCGUAAAGCGCACGUAGGCGGAUUUGUAAGUCAGGGGUGAAAUCCCGAGGCUCAACCUCGGAACUGCCUUUGAUACUGCAAAUCUCGAGUCCGGAAGAGGUGAGUGGAAUUCCUAGUGUAGAGGUGAAAUUCGUAGAUAUUAGGAAGAACACCAGUGGCGAAGGCGGCUCACUGGUCCGGUACUGACGCUGAGACGCGAAAGCGUGGGGAGCGAACAGG